UCCGGCCUGUCGCAGCCAGGAAGGAAAAGGACUCCGGGGUCAGAGGGGCAUUGCUGCCGUCUCCGUCUGAACUGCUACAAAAUUGGAAUACUGGAGGGAUCUGAACCAUUGUUCAACUUCUUCACUGCUGUGACUCCAGAGCCCGGAACUGGAGAGUCUGCACACUCGGAGGAAGACGAUCCUGGUCCUGAUUUGCCCUAGGUGAUGGGGGACUCACGUUCAGAUGUGUGUUAUCAACAGAGAAGCCCUCAGCGCACCACACCCACCACCCCAGGCUCUCACAGCUGACCACUUGAUGAUUGCACUAUUUGACAAAAGGUGUCAUCUUUGGACUGGGAGCCCCAUGGGGGCAGGAUCCAGUACUGCCUUGGCCAUGCUGUCACCAGCAUGGUCCAGAAGUGGUGAGGAGCAGAGGAAGUACCUACCACCUAUUCGCUGGAUAAAGAAGCUUCUGGAAUCCCUGCUAUCCUGGACCCAGGAGUGUAGACAGGAACUGUCCUAAGUCCAGCACACAGGCCAGGCCUGAGGUGGAUGGGCAGUCACACCCAGUGAUGACCCCCAACAGUCCAGCCUUGGUCUCCACUCCAUUGGCCCUGCCUCACAUUCCACCUAGGGACCUGUUCCAUGCCUUCUACUCACAAAUUCCUGAAGGGAUUUGGGACUGUGAGUGGACUGAAAGGGGCAGGGACCAGAGAACCACUUUAAAAAUGAACUUUGUUGUUAGUGCCGUUGUGUCAAUUCCAGCUCCCAGCGACUCUGUGUACAGCAGAGUGGAACCCUGCCCGGUCUUUUUGUACCACCCUCUCACCUUCCAGCCCUCUAUCAAAUAAUGCUCUGCUGCUAUUCAUAGGGAUUUCAGGGCCAGUAUUUUCAGAAGUGGGCGGCCAAGUCCUUCUUCCUAGUCUGUCUAGUCUGUAAGCUCUGCUGAAACCUGUCCACUGUGGGUGACUCUGCUGGUAUUUAAAACACUAGAGACAUGGCUUUAAAUAUUGUGGCAACAUGCAGCCACCACGGUAUGACAAGGACAGACGGGUGGUGAGGUUCCCUGACUGUGCAAUGAACCUAGGCUAUGGUGGUGAGAGCACCGAAUCUUAACUACUAGACCAGCAAAAGAUGAACUAGUGGAUUUUAAACUGAGGGCCCCAAGUUUAAGGGGGCCAUCCCCAGCACCAAAAAUGGGGCCAGGCACACCAAUCCCUCAAUAAGUGUUUAAUGAAUGAAUAAUGUCCCCUUGAGAAGGCCCGCAACCCCAAUUAAAGGCCAACUGCAGUAACACUUUAGGGUUUCAACCCUGCUUCCUUCCCGCUAGGAGGUGCCAUGUGAUUUAUUGAAAGAAAACAAAACAAAACAGGGCAAACACAUUUCUUAAUAAGUGCAGUUUGUUAAAAUCCUGUUAAAACAUAUGGGUCAAGGGGAAGUGAAAAUAAUCAGGGGAUCACUGUAGGAAAAACCUUUAGGUCUGGCACCUGGGAGACCUCUGGAGAGCUGACAGUGGGAGAAACUUCAUGUUCUGAAGGGAAGGAGCUCUUCCCCCGACCUCCCCUUCUUCCCUCUCACCCGCUUAAUCCCACCAGAAACUACCAAGACGCCUGGAAUAAAAGGUUUCAAGUUCAAUAAUCACACUCUCUCCAAAUACAAAAAGCAGUUACAAUUCAACUCAACACAGAAGCUUGUGUGCAAAGUUACGGGAAACUGAGACAUCGUAUAAAAAGUUAGGUUAAAGAUGAUUCUGUGGUUUUGUUUUGAGGGUGUGGCUCUUCCUCGGUCACCUGAACUCAGCAAAGAAAUGGUUAUCCUGAUGAAAUACCAACAGCCGACCCACAGUAAAAACGGACAAAUUCUAAAAAUUAAAAAAAAAAAAAAAA